UACAGAGGGGGCAAGCGUUGUUCGGAAUUACUGGGCGUAAAGGGCGCGUAGGCGGCCUACUAAGUCGGACGUGAAAUCCCCGGGCUCAACCCGGGAACUGCGUCCGAUACUGGAAGGCUUGAAUCCGGGAGAGGGAUGCGGAAUUCCAGGUGUAGCGGUGAAAUGCGUAGAUAUCUGGAGGAACACCGGUGGCGAAGGCGGCAUCCUGGGACCGGUAUUGACGCUGAGGCGCGAAAGCCAGGG
rnacentral:rRNA from 1 species